rnacentral:rRNA from 1 species
AACGAACGCUGGCGGCAGGCCUAACACAUGCAAGUCGAACGAGAAGCUUUCCUUCGGGAAAGUGGAAAGUGGCAGACGGGUGAGUAACGCGUGGGAACGUGCCUUUCGGUUCGGGAUAACUCAGGGAAACUUGGGCUAAUACCGAAUACGCCCUUCGGGGGAAAGAUUUAUCGCCGAAAGAUCGGCCCGCGUCGGAUUAGCUUGUUGGUGAGGUAAAAGCUCACCAAGGCGACGAUCCGUAGCUGGUCUGAGAGGAUGAUCAGCCACACUGGGACUGAGACACGGCCCAGACUCCUACGGGAGGCAGCAGUGGGGAAUAUUGGACAAUGGGCGCAAGCCUGAUCCAGCCAUGCCGCGUGGGUGAAGAAGGCCCUAGGGUUGUAAACCCCUUUCAGCGGGGAAGAUAAUGACGGUACCCGCAGAAGAAGCCCCGGCUAACUCCGUG